GAAAUGCGAUAAGUAAUGUGAAUUGCAGAAUUCAGUGAAUCAUCGAAUCUUUGAACGCACAUUGCGCCUAUUAGUAUUCUAGUAGGCAUGCCUGUUCGAGUGUCAUUUCAACCCUCAAGCCCUGGUUGCUUGGUGUUGGGAGCUUGCUGUGAAACGCAACUCCUCAAGGCUAGCUGGCAGAGUCGGGAUGCACUCUAAGCGUAGUAAACUUGAUAGUCUCGCUUCUGCAGUUGUCCCGGCCGUCUUGCCAUAAAAGCCCAAACUUUUUUGUUUUCUAUGGUUGACCUCGGAUCAGGUAGGAAUACCCACUGAACUUAAGC
rnacentral:misc_RNA from 1 species